rnacentral:lncRNA from 1 species
AUUCAACCUUUAAGGUAUAUAAUUCACUGGGUUAGUAGUAUAUUCAACAGUUAUUCAGCCACCCUCAGUCACCACCUAACACAGAUCAUGUUAGUUACUCUAGACAACCCUGUACUCAGUACUAGUUGCCCCAACUGCCCUUACAACCACGAAUCUAGUGUUUGUCUCUAUGCAUUUGCCUACUCUGGACAGUUCAUGGGAACAGAAUCACACAAUAUGUGAUCUCUUUAUUCUGGCUCUUUUACUUAGCAUAAUGGUUUUAAGGUUUAUCCAUGCUGGUUUUUUAAAUGAUUUUAAUAAGAAUGUUUCCACCUUGGUUAGAAAGACCUUCCUCAGUCAGAGAUUACAUAAAUACUUGCCUGUGUUUUCUUCUGGAGUUAUUUCACUUAUUACAUUCUCAGUAAUUUCAUAUUAUUAAACCUGUUUGUAGAUUUUGUGUUUUUUUUUCUCUGCUUGCUCAUUCUUCCACUAGAAAAGUGUUAAUAUUAAACCCAGAGUUAGUCCUCUAUUAUAUCUCUUCCUUUUAAGAUUCAUCUUGUUCUUUGAGUUUAUUUUUUUCCUUCCAAAUUAACUUCAAGAUCAUUUUAUUGAAUUUCAGGGGAAAAUAUCAUUGGCAUUUUGGUUCAAAUUAUCUUCUGUUUGCUUGGGAGAGAUUUGAAUUCUUCAAAAUACAAAUGUGAUGAGCAGAAAAAUAAAUAUUUAAAAACGUGUUGCUCUGGAGAUGAGAAAACAAAUUUUUUUUCCAGGGUGUGAGAAGUGUUUUUAUUUUAUUUUUUUCCCUAAGGGAAGAGAACACAAUAGCUCAAUGACUUCUUUGGUUACACAAAUUAAUACCACCCUUGCCCCCAUCUAUGUGAGUAAGGAUGAGAGAGACAGCUAAAUUGUUCUUAGCUAUGAAAUAACAGGAAGAGUGAGUUUCCAAAGGCUUAUACUAGGAAAGAGUUUAG